rnacentral:lncRNA from 1 species
AAUCAAGAAUGAUUGAGAAUAGGAACGGCUCAAGACGUUCACAACUAAGGCCAUGAAUAGCUAGGAAUUCCCUUUAAGAGCAAAGGUUUUAUCAUCAGACAGACCUACUUGCAGGAUAUUACUCUAUGAAGAUGUAAUGUUUGGAGCUGCAGCGAUCAUUUUGGAAUCAUGAGGCAAUCAACCUAAGAAUGAAAGCCAACAAGUUGAAGAAAGCAGGACAGAAUAAAGACCCUGGAUUCUUGGUGACACUUUUGGUUUCCAAAACUACUCUGAG